GCCUGAUCCAGCCAUACCGCGUGGGUGAAGAAGGCCUUCGGGUUGUAAAGCCCUUUUGUUGGGAAAGAAAUCCAGCCGGCUAAUACCUGGUUGGGAUGACGGUACCCAAAGAAUAAGCACCGGCUAACUUCGUGCCAGCAGCCGCGGUAAUACGAAGGGUGCAAGCGUUACUCGGAAUUACUGGGCGUAAAGCGUGCGUAGGUGGUUGUUUAAGUCUGUUGUGAAAGCCCUGGGCUCAACCUGGGAACUGCAGUGGAAACUGGACAACUAGAGUGUGGUAGAGGGUAGCGGAAUUCCCGGUGUAGCAGUGAAAUGCGUAGAGAUCGGGAGGAACAUCCAUGGCGAAGGCAGCUACCUGGACCAACACUGACACUGAGGCACGAAAGCGUGGGGAGCAAACAGGAUUAGAUACCCUGGUAGUCCACGCCCUAAACGAUGCGAACUGGAUGUUGGGUGCAAUUUGGCACGCAGUAUCGAAGCUAACGCGUUAAGUUCGCCGCCUGGG
rnacentral:rRNA from 1 species